GAGGUUGUAGCUCAGUGGUUGAGCACUUGUCUCGCAUGUAAGAGGCACUGGGUUCAAUCCUUAGCACCACA
rnacentral:tRNA from 1 species